UAAUACGGAGGGUGCAAGCGUUGUUCGGAAUUACUGGGCGUAAAGCGCGUGUAGGCGGCUUGGCAAGUCGGAUGUGAAAUCCUCGGGCUCAACCCGAGAACUGCAUCCGAAACUGCUUCGCUAGAGUCUCGGAGAGGAAGGCAGAAUUCCCAGUGUAGGGGUGAAAUCCGUAGAUACUGGGAGGAAUACCGGCAGCGAAGGCGGCCUUCUGGACGAUGACUGACGCUGAGACGCGAAAGCGUGGGGAGCAAACAGGAUUAGAUACCCUGGUAGUCCACGCCGUAAACGUUGUGCACUAGGUGUCGGGAGUAUUCACCCUCCCGGUGCCGACGCUAACGCAAUAAGUGCACCGCCUGGGGAGUACGGCCGCAAGGCUA
rnacentral:rRNA from 1 species